UCUCUCUGAAUCUGCGAACGGCUCCGCAAACCAGUUGUAAACUAUAGCAAGCAAUCCUGCAGCUGGGCUUCGGCCCGGUUGUGGGUAACAUGGAUAACCCUGGUAAUUCUGAGGCUAAUACAAGAACGUACAACCUGGCUAACCGGCAACGGAAGGCUGGGGAACGUGCAACGUAUCGUAAUGGAUACCGGGAAAGGGUGCACGUUUGGACCGCGCUAAAGACAGUCCUUGGUAAACCCUCACGGGCGAGCCUUGGCCUGAGCGGCUCUUGCGGUGUGCUUCUGACCUAUCAACUAGACGGCAGCGUAAGGGACAUGCUAUGGUUACAACGGGUACAGAGGAUAAGGGUUCGAUCCUGGAGAGUGGGCCUGAGAGAUU
rnacentral:rRNA from 1 species